UACGGAGGGUGCAAGCGUUAUCCGGAUUCACUGGGUUUAAAGGGUGCGUAGGAGGGCAGGUAAGUCAGUGGUGAAAUCUCCGAGCUUAACUUGGAAACUGCCGUUGAUACUAUCUGUCUUGAAUAUUGUGGAGGUGAGCGGAAUAUGUCAUGUAGCGGUGAAAUGCUUAGAUAUGACAUAAAACACCAAUUGCGAAGGCAGCUCGCUACACAUAUAUUGACUCUGAGGCACGAAAGCGUGGGGAUCAAACAGG
rnacentral:rRNA from 1 species